rnacentral:rRNA from 1 species
GAGAUGUGGGUAGUCCGUACGAGCGCACCUUGUCCUUAUUUGCCAGCACGUAAUGGUGGGAACUCUAAGGAGACUGCCGGUGACAAACCGGCGGAAGGUGGGGACGACGUCAAGUCAUCAUGGCCCUUAUGACCAGGGCUACACACGUGCUACAAUGGAGCGUACAGAGGGUUGCUAAGCCGCGAGGUGGAGCCAAUCCCAGAAAACGUUUCGUAGUCCGGAUCGAAGUCUGCAACUCGACUUCGUGAAGUCGGAAUCGCUAGUAAUCGCGAAUCAGCAUGUCGCGGUGAAUACGUUCCCGGGCCUUGUACACACCGCCCGUCACACCAUGGGAGUGGGUUGCAAAAGAAGUGGCUAGUCUAACCUUCGGGAGGACGGUCACCACUUUGUGAUUCAUGACUGGGGUGAAGUCGUAACAAGGUAGCCCUAGGGGAACCUGGGGCUGGAUCACCUCCUU